UCCUUCGUGGGGUUUGUUGUUGGUAUUCACAAGGCUGCCAUGGCAUCAGAUUCGGAUAACAAGACUUUGUUUGGGUCAGGCAGAGAUAAUUUUCCUCUCUGCCUUGAAGUCUGUAACUGAUCAUUCAAGUCCUCCAGUGAAGCCAAUUCAGGUUUUAAACAUCUCCACACUGUCCAGUGACCCUCUCCGAGAUGACAUCCAUUUUGCGCACUAAUACCGGUAUCGCAGCUAGGACAUUGUCCAGCUUACGAUUCACCUCGAGUAACGUCCCAGUCGUGAGGUCUCCACAUGGACGGUGCUUUCCGUGGGUGCGGGUCGCCCUCCAAUCGCUCCAGUCUUCCCAAAUUUCCAGAAAACCAGAUAUCCUCCCACUCCAAUCAGAAGAAAUCCAGUGAUCAUCAGGCCAAAUAUCCACACAUCUUCGACAUCCUCAAUGGACAACUGAGAGAGGCAUACGAUCUUCCACUCCCUCCAGGAAUCGAGCAUAUAUCCCGCUGCGUGUGUCCCUUGCGGGCAAGUGGGAGCCCCCUCCUCCGUUCUCAUUGUAGAAAAAAUCUUGUCAAUCACGUUGAAUGACCACUCAAUUAAAUCCAUUGUAAAAAGUGGGGUUUUUCAGAAGAAAUGCAGAGAAGCGCUCUGUGGGCAGACAGGACAAAGAGCCUUGGGGAAAAAAAUAAGGGAGCAAAAGCAGAAGCGUCUGUACUCUGCGAGUGCCGGAAGAAGAAGAUGGCUCCAUUCUGUCAAUGAUAUAAGGCUUUGAACAGUGGGUUAGACAAUAUUUAGAAUUUGAGUGAUUUGAUAAGUGUUUACCGUAAUUUCCAGAUUAUAGAGCACUCCUCAAUAUAAACCGCACCAACAAAAAAAAAGGUUUUCUACACACACACGCCGCACUCAAAUACAAGCCGCGGCGCAGCAGCCACAUGCAGGUCUCCUGCGCACAGCGCAUGUACGGCCAUAACAUAAGAUAAUUAGACAGAAAGACGCUACACGGAUGUUUUUCGUUGUUUUACUUCAACAAAACGAAUUUUAAACACGGGUGAACGUGCCUGCAAGUUUAGAAAACAAAACAGCACCGAUAGCAUUCAUAUUUCUGGAUGGUUUAAAAUAAAAUAGAACUGACACGUUAUUACCGGUAAUUUGCAUGUUUAGAAGAAAAGAACAGCGCUGACACAGCAUUAAUAAGCCCUGGAAGAUUAGAAAAUAAAAACUGCACACAAAACAUGCCUGGUUAGUAAAUAAAACACACUUGCCUACCAGAAGAAGUCAUUCGCUCUCAUCUUCCUCUUGCGCACUAAAGCCAUUAAAGUCCUCUUCUUCAGUGUCGAGUUGAACAGCCUCAGAAGAGCUUCGUCACAUACCUUUUCUGUGGCGAUGUCAGUGUCGCUGUCCGUCUUGCUGUCAUCAUCCCCGGGUGAAGCUGGCUUGAAUGAGUUCUUCCCGUUGCCGUCUCCAGCACCGAACCAUGGAUUCAUUCAUGCCAAGCUUACGUGCGGCAGCACUGUUUCCCUCCUUUACUGCCAGAUCGAUGGCCUUCAACUUAAAUGCGGCAUCAUAUGAACUCAUACGAGUAGUUACCAUGAUGAGGGGGUAUGAAUUUCAUAAAAAAUUCUUCGUUGUGCCGGCUGCUUGCAUGCGCUAAAUUAAAAUGAGCACUUUCUUCGAUUCCCACUUUUGACUUUCACCUGUUUCACUUUCUGCUAAAGUGCCCCCUGGCAGGUGAAGGAAAAUCUUCAGUAAAGCCGCACCUCAUUAUAAGCCGCACGGUUCAAAGCGUGGGGAAAAAGUAGCGGCUUAUAGUCCGGAAAAUAUGGUACUGUGUCUACAUUUAAAGUUGAAUCCUUGAUUGUGAUAUAUUGUUGGAAUCACAAGAAUUCUAGUUUAAAAUGCUGUGUAACAUCUAGUGGUGCGACGGAUCAAACGUCUCACAGUUCGGAUCAUGUCACGGUUUUCAAUCAGGGUUCAGAUCGUUUUAGGGAUGAGCAGAAAGAAAACGAAAAUAGCAAAACAAACAGCUUUGCUCUCUCUCUUAAUUUUGUAGAACACUUAGUGCAACAUUUUCUACUCAAUUUGCAACGUGCUAUAAAAGCAGGAGUUACAGAGAGGUCCGAUUGCUGUUUAAAUGUUAAAAUGGUUUGCUGAGACACACUCUCCCUUUGUGUUCAACGUUCACUCAUUUCCUCACCUUUCUGAUGUGCUGUUUAGUUUUCUUUUGGCCUCUUUUACUGAUUUGUCCCCAACAACAUCUACAGGUCCCACCCAGUGCUUGAAAUGGAAAAAAAUAGCCUAAGUGCCGGUACUCCCCUCCAAAAAAUAUUGGCGGAGGGGAUUUGAGGCUCUCUCUAUUGCAAAAUGACUAUAAUUGGGGUCAUUUAGAUUGACAACUAUGUAGUCAAAGGCACAGAUUAAAUGAGCAGCCUCUUUCAAGCAUGGAUGAAACCUUUUGCAGACACAUCUCCUUUCUCUUAAUGCAAAGUCAUCAAUGAGGUCAUCUGAUGCUGUGCUACUUCUGAGCUGAGCUGAUGACAGCCAAGCUACUCAGGUGUUCUUGUGCUAUAGAUGAGCCUUGGGUUGAGAACUUCACUCAGCAGAAGCAGCUGGAACCAGAAAUCCAUCAUACUAGCAGAUUAAGAUUUAUUUAGGUAGAUAUGACUACAAAUAAUGAUAUGGUUAUAAUACAAUAUGUAAUCCUCUCUCUAUCUAUCUCUCUACCUACCUACCUACCUACCUACCUCCCUCCAUCCCUCCCUCCCUCCCUCCCACCCAUUUGUGGAACAAUCCUGAGCGUGGUGUAGGCACUGCUAGCCGACGAUCCUGUGAUGACCGGAGCGGCCGGGCCGAGACGUAAGCCUUUGCAAGAGGAUUCAGGUAGAUGGGAGCCGUACCAUCUCGGACUUUGUAUGCUAGUGUUAGCAAUUUGAAUUUGAUGCGUGCUGCUAGCGGUAGCCAAUGGAACUCAGUGAAUAGAGGGGUGACGUGUGCUCUUUUUGGCUGAUUGAAGACCAGACGCGCCGCUGCGUUCUGGACCAUUUGAAGAGGUCUCACAGUACUGCCUGGAAGACCAGAUAACGUGGGAUUUAAAAGUUAAAAUGAUGAUCAGGUUUAUUUACAACAAAAAAAUCAUAAAUCUUUCCAUCCACAGGUUGGGAAUAAUAAAACUAAUUCUGCCUGUGGGGAAUUAAAACAAAAGUACAAAUAACUAGGGAUGUCCCACUGGGGAAAGAUUACUGGGUUCUGGACCAAAAUAUGGAUCUCCAAAGGUCCAAACUCUAAACUGGGUGGGGAUGUUUAGAAUCGAGCCGUCAACCUCAUCGACGCUUCGCUACAGCUCUAAGGUUUACGCAAGGCAUUUAAAUGAAUCAUGGUGGAUGGCUGCUUAUACUGAGCCAGGAUCCUCUGGAGGUUUCUUCCUGUUAAAAGGGAGUUUUUCUCUCCACUGUCGCUAAAUGCUUGCUUAGUAUGAGGAUUGCUGUAAAGACUCUGACACAAGUCAGUGACUCGAUGCAACCUGUUGGAUUCCUUAUAUAGGAAACUUUUUACUGAUUGGCUUAAUAAUCUGAACUGUAUUGGACUGUUUACUUUGUGAAGUGGGUUGAGACGACUUGUCGUGAUUUUGCGCUAUAUAAAUAAACUGAAUUGAAUUUAGUGAAUGAUAAUGAGGGCUGCUGUAAAAUUCCAUCUACAGUCUGUUUAUGCCCACAACACACUCCUCUGGUUUAGACAUUUUUUUCUAGAGCAUUUCUGUUUGGAUGCCAUCUCUUCCCCAUCUGACCACUGGCUGGUCAGGUGCUGUCAAUCAUUGCGAGAACGUGCAUGGUGUCAGAAAACCCGUCUCUUUUUUUUCUCCUCUUGCCUGAGCUGACAGACUUUGAUGGUGUAUGCGCGGUGCGCUUCACGGCAGGGAUGCGUCUUUUGGGCAUUUAGAGAGAAUCUGUGGCGGUGCGCCUUGACAAGCGCGUCUGCCGGGUAGCAGAGAGCAGACGUGGCAGCGGGAGCGUGUGCAACAGCAGGUGAAGCGCAUCAAUAAUCACGUCCUCUUCUUUUAACAUAUACAAGCAGCAGACGCAGAGGAGGCAUCUUUUUCCAAAUGAAUUAAUUUGAACCUGUGGAUCGAGGAGCAUCCGAGAGACUGAAUAAAGUGUUUGGAGACAAUCUGCUGGUGUGGAGUGUUUGUGCGUGUGACCCUGCCGUAGCCGGCUACAGCUUCCACAAAAUGACUGUGGAUGGCUGGUAUUUAGUUGGAGACAGACUGAUGUUUUUUCAGAAAUCCCGGAGAUUUCGACUAGUAAAUGACCGGAAAAAACUACCGGUACUCAUCGUACCCUGGGAAAAAGUCCUGGAAUGCUGAGAGGUAAAAAUAAGAAGUGCUGGUGGGUACCGGCCAACUUAAAGCACCAGACACAGCAUGUUUAUGUUAUGUCCAAGGCAUGUUUCAUGCCCUACCCCCUCGCUCCUUUCUCAGCGAUUGGAGUUAUGUGUGUGCAGUGCUGCGCCAUCAGACUGGAGGCGCAAUCACAUAUUAAUUUUUGUCGUAAUUUGUAUCAUCAUUGUAUUUUACAAGGGAGCCAAAAUGCUCCCAUACUUGUGACCUAAAUGAUGCAGGUGGUUUUUCAAGCUCCUCUCUUCCUUCAUUACCACCGCUGUGCAUUUCUUCUUUGGACUGAACAGGUAGCGCCUCUGUCCUCCACAUUACAAUCUGUGGACCGCGUGCAUGCCGAACCGUGGAGAGAGAUCCGUACAGAUCAUAGAUCAAUGAUGAUCUGUUGCACCCGGCAAGUGUUGCAAAAAAGGUGCUGAUUUGACAGAAGUAUACAAUGUCCCAUCUAUGAAAGGAAUGGGCGACAUGGCCUAGAAUUUAUAUCACAAUAUAUUUUGAAGCUUAGGCUUGUGUAUAUUCUUAUCUUCUGUGUAUAAAUACUUAACCAAAAUAUAACACUUUUGUUUUUGCUCCCAUUUUUCAUGAGCUGAACUCAAAACAUCUGAAAAUUUGGCUACAUACAUAAAAGACCCAUGACUGUCAAAUAUUGUUCUGAAAUCUGUCUAUAUGUAUGUUAGUGAGCACUUUUCCUUUACCCAGAUAAUCCAUCCCACCUCACAGGUGUGGCGUAUCAAGGGGCUGAUUAGACAGCAUGAAUAAUGUUAAGGUGUGCCUUAGACUGCCCACAAUAAAAGGACACCCUGAGAUGUGCAUGUAAAGUGUUCACUUAACACACAUGUAGAUACAUUUCAGAACAACAUUUGAGUCAUGGGUCUUUUGUGUAUGUAGCCAAAUUUUCUGAUGUUUGAGGUCAGCUCGUGAAAAAAUAAGUGCACAAACAAAAGUGUUGCGUUAAUAUUUUUGUUCAAUGUAUGUCAAAAGGACUGUUUUUGAACAAUUGCACAUACCAGAGGAAUUGCAGGAGAACAAAUACUUCUUAAAAAGUAUAGAAUGCCAUUUAAAUAAAUUUACCUUUUGAAACUUAAUUUUAAAAGUACAAAACAUCUCAAAUAAUUUUUAUGUUGUUACAUGUUUUUUUCUCUCCAAAUAAUACAACAUAAAAAUGAUCAUGAGUAAAGAUGAAGAGGCAUUGCUUUUGACCAUAUAUACGGAAGUGAAAACAACAUCUUGAGGUGUUAUACAUUAGCCAGUCACUAGAUGGUGCCUUCUGAUUAAAAUAUUUAGGAUAGCCGCUUUAAGGGAGAUCGUUUCGUAGCUUGUUUAGCUUCAGUGCAUUGUUCGUGACAGCGAUGAGCGGUGUUUGUGUUUGAGGAUUUUGUAGCUGUGGCUCUGGAAUUUCAGCCGUGUAGGGAAAACACGGGUUGUUUAGGACAUUUCAGAGGCUUUACACUAACAGUGUAGCAUUCAUCCAUUCACACACACAUUCACACACUGAUGACGAUGAGCUACAAUGCAGCCACAGCUGCCCUGGAGGGCACUGACAGAGGCGAGGCUGCCGAGUACAAGCACCACCUGUCCCUCUGACCACCACCAUCAGGAUAAGUGUCUUGCCCUAAGACAGCAGAAUUCUCUGCAGGAACCUGGAAUGGAUCAUCCGAUUACUGGCCAACCCACUCUACUUACUGAGCUAAGCUGUUCUAUAUUAUCUUAGAUAAUUGUGACUUGUGAGGGCCAACUUGUUUUCAUUCCAUUCCACAUGAAACAAAACCUAAAAAAAUGAAUCAGGGUGUAACUUUUCCUCUGACUAGAUUUGAAAAAGAGGUUUGAAAAUUGAUUUCAUGAGGUAUUUCUCCAUGAGAACUUAAUUCUACUAAAUAAAAUAAAUGUCUUUAGGACCACCAGUACACUGAUUAGAGCACUGCUAACAAGACACGAGGGAGAUGUGUGGGGGUGGAGUUCAGGGGCUAGCUUACUAAAUGUUUCCAUUUUGUGCUGUUGCGUUGAAGUCUCCCACAUGUUUUAUUUCAGUCCAGAGCACCAGUGUCGCUGGAGGGUGUUGGUUUUGUUACCUGUCUGGAAGGGGGUCUGGCUGUCUGGGGCAUUCCCACAGCUCAGAACUGAGGAGAACAGAAAAGCUCAUAAACACACAGGCCCCCUACAAAGGUCUGGUCCUCUGCUCCCAUGUCCAAUAAACAUUAGCUUAUGCUUAAGGGCAAAGCCCUGCUUCUGUCUCUGUCCACCUGGGAAAAAUUACUGCCAGCAUGUUUUAAGAAAUACACUCAUCUUCCACCAGUGGCCACUGGGGCCAGAAGUUCAGGCGUCACUCAGGGUUUGCUACAGAGUCAGAAAAAACAAAGUUAUAGUUCAGAGCCAAGAUAGUUUCUAGUCACAAUAACAAUCACAUGUAUUAACUGUCUAUGACACUUUUCACUCACCGGCCUUUUAAAGGAGACAUAUCAUGCUUGUAUGUUCUUCUGUUUUGCAACUAGAUAAUUCAGUUGUGGACCAAAUAUAACGUUACAGCAGUUCUUGGGUCUGAUUUCUUCAUUAUUGUUGCUCUACAGACCCUCGUUUACCUCUGUUCUGUGGAGAACUGAAAAUGAGCCGUUUUGGUUCUUUCUCUUUAAAUGUGAAGGAAGAGCUGCAAGCCCCUCCCCCCUCCACAGAGCAGAGUUCACUCUCCACCCCAGUCGGACAUUUUAGUAGUUUUAAAGAGAAAUUGUUAUUUAGCAUGGCAGUAAUGUUGUAUUUGCACUUUUUAAACAUGUGGUGAGAUUUAUCCACCCAGCUGUGUCUCAGGGCUGCCAACUUUCUCAUGUGGAGUGAGACACACGCAAGUGAGGAACAGUUCAGAGAGACGUGUGGAUCAAAUGACUGGACAUUCAAGAGCAAGUAACGUCUAAAUUAACUUUUUUUUGCUGAUGAACUGUAUAAAUGUGUGUCUAAUAGUGUUUUAAAUGUGUGUAUUCAUUAUUUUAGCAUUUUGGUGCAUUUUUUUUAAAAAUUAAAAAUUCUGCCUAAAUACCACAGUAUAGCGCCACCUUCAGCUUAAAACAUAGAGUUUGAGUCAUUUUGAAUACACUUUAGCCAAUGGAUAAAGAGAAAGAUACUACGUAAACCAGUAGAGUACUAUGUAGCAGUUCUGUGUCAAAGUUAUAAAGCAUCGAGAGUCUCGGCCACGCCUUGUGGCAAGUUGGGAGUUGGAUUUGCAAGCGAGUGUAGGAGGUUAGCCGUAGUUCAGCAUUAGCAUAUAGCAUUAGCAUAUCCUAGUCUUUAGCAUAGCUUAUACAUGCUUAUUUAGUGUUAGUUUGGCUGUUAGAUAAUGUAGUUUAGUUAGUGUUUGGCUGUUAGUGUAAUUAGGAAAGUAGUUCGGGUUUAGUGCUCCAUAUCGUGUUAGUAUGGUGAGAAGGUGUAGUGUGGUUGCGGUGGCUCUGUGGGGUUGCACUCCUUUCCGCUGGACUUAGAAAUUAGGCGCCAGUGGUUGCGCGCAAUCGGUGUCUGGAAAGCAGUCAGCUCCUGCCGGGUGCUGUAGUUAGCAACCAGCAAUUUACCUGCGAUUCUGCACGUCUCCAUUUGAAGAGGGAGGCUGUGCCCACCGUGGCUCUUCCGCGAUUUAGAUGCAGCCCACCGACUCUGCUCCCCCAUCAUGGCGGGCUCCAGUCUGAGGUGAGUAAGCUAAAUAAAAGUUUUAACAUCUUCUAAAGACAAUUCCCUACCUAAAUGCAAAGCUUGAGAAACGUGGUUCACUUAAUUUAGCUGAUAUCAGUCUGCACUGCCUUCGGGCUAAUUUGUCAAGUUCUCAAAAUGUGGAACGGGAUGUAAGGUUAGAAUCAGCGGCGAAUCGGAACAUAUCGCGAAGCCCUGGCCGAGGAAACGGUCCACAUGGCUAUUACUGUCAGGCUCGGAGAAAAUUCGGGUUGCUUUUGUGUCAGUCGGUAAUUCUGCAACAGUGACUCUAACGCAUCACUAGUUGAAAGACAGCAUACAGCGUGAAAUCCAGCUUUACACCACAGCGUGACCCGGUUCUGUGAGGAAUUCUGUUCAGGAGGUCGCAUUUCAGGCUCUCUUCACAUCAUAUGUGAUUGACUUUUACGUUAUAAUAACGAUCACACACUAGGAAUGUUAUAAAGCGCCUAUAUAGGACCGUUUCUUUUGUAUAUUAUCUAUGACUAUAAACUCCAACAACAAUGCGCUUCUAUUUUUUUUUUCAGGCUAAAUCUACCCAAGACACUGGCUGUCAGACUGAUUUAGUAGUCUGCAAGAAUGCACUUGUCCAGGCUGACGUGAAGCCUUACCCGUAGCAAAGCCACCCAGUUUAGAGCUCCCAGCCUCAGUGUGUCUGGUGACACAGGGACCAUGACGGAAAUUCAUCUUCCAGAAAGUCCCAGAGCAGCAUCCACACCCCUGAAAAGACCAAGAUGUGAGGUGUCUGCUGUUGAUUCCAGCUUCCACCUCAAUGACGGUGCAAGCUCAGUGAACUGUUCAAGGUAAAAAAAUUAAAACAUUUCAGAAUUUUUAAGAUAUUAACAAUUAAAUCAGUAUGUGAUUGCAUUAUGACAUCAUGAAGGAGGCUGAUUCUGCCCCUGUGACACUUGGUGGUGACGUGUGAGCUGAUUCACCUGGUAAAUAACUUUUACAUUAAAUAUUUAGUUCUUUGCUAUCAAAAGUAAAUUAACUAAUAACCUGCAUUAUUGCAGGACACUCAGCAAAAUAUGGACUCUACACCAUGAGCCUCGCUGAUCACCUGAUAACUCCUGUCAUCUGGUUAUGACAGCAUGAGGAUGUCCUCACACACCUGUAACCUAUCAGCUCAUCUGGCAGAAUAGAGAGAGAAGAGACAACACCACAUCUCCUGUUCCUGGAAAGCCUUCAGCCAUCCUUCGAUGACUGAGAACCUCCAUCAGCUCUGUCUCCUGUCUGCCUACAAUUAUUAUAAUAAAUAUUGUGUUUGACAAGUUUUUUGUGCUGCCAAAUAUCUCAUAUAGAUUCCAGUUUUGAUAUUUUAAUGGAUAUUUAUAAAUUACAUUAAUUGAAUUAUCACAUUGUUGCAUGUUUAACUAGCUCUAUUGUGAUGAAUUAAACUAGCACCUCACUGUUAAAAGCUCGUUUUAAUUUCAAGCAUGUUUAAGUAUUUAUGGACAUGAACAAAAACAGGAAAUAUAUAAAUUGAGAUUUAUUUAAUUAACAACAAUUAAUAAGGGGAAAGAGUCAUUGAAAGGCACAUUCUUCUGGAAGCUCCUGAUCCUGACGACACCAGCAGGAGACCAGCUGCAGACACCAGAGGAUCACCUACGACCAAGAGAGCAGCUGGUAUCAGUAAAUAAAUAAAUCAGGGCAGUUUUAGUGGGCUGAACACAUUACAGAAUAAUUUUCUCAUGGGGCAGUUUCAUAACUUUCUAUGCAGCAGACUGUAACUUGAGCCCAGGGCUCCUGGAGAGCUGCUAUCCAGCAAGUUUCAGUGUUUUUCCUGCUUUAACAGGUUAGAUUAGCUGUUCAGCAACUCAGCUAUUUGUUGCUGAUUAAAACUAGGUGUGUUGAAGCAGAUAAAUCUCUAAAACAUGCUGAAUACUAGCUCUCUAGGGCCGUGGGGCCAAACCCUGCAGCUAAUCUAAUGCUAUGGCUAACGGCUACUUACCAUUCAGAGCUGGUUCUGUUGGGUCGGUUGCGGUAGUUUCAGGCAACUCACAAGCUCAAAACAAUAAGGCUCAGAUCCGCAUGUCUCCUCCAAAUAGACUUGGUCCCUUUCUUCUCGAGUGUCUGGGUAAGGAGGGGGAGAAACGUCCUCCACUUCUAAUGACUGCUCAGAGUGAAGGGAGCUAGCAUCGUCUCGUUACCCAUCGUCUUCGUCACUGCCGCGGCUCCACCCUCUCGGUCCUCCAGGCAACGCCUACUAAUGUUGCAGUUUUUAAAAUUUAUACAUGGGUGGAGAAGGACUCUGAGGGGGGCAUUACCACUUCUUUCAGCAUUUUUCUAAAUGGACUACAAAGAAGACAAAAUGGCAGAUUGGCUCUGUGUAUAGCUGGAAGUCUAUCACCAUAUUUGGCAGUUGUCCUGAUGAAAUAUAGCCUGGCCUGCCAGACUCCUCCUCUGUUUGAUUCUGCACAGAGAAAGGGUCUGGGAACUCUCCUAUUCAAAUAAUCCCACCCCCUGAGACUUCUAACCGAGUCAAUCAGUGCUGAGUAACGUACGUCACACCACAAUGCCAAAUUUGUCCUAAACAUGGCGACUGAAGCAGAGUUAAUUCUUUCCUCUGUUCUAAAUGACUUGGACAUGUCUUUAAAACCACAGGUAGAAGCGCUAAAAUCCUUUCUUCUUAAGAAAGAUGAUUGUGCUGUCGCCAGACGCCAUUUUUGACUACAGCUAAAAAACUACAGCGUCGCGGACGUCACACGCAGCGACGCUUAGUUUCUCAUAAACAACGGAGACAGCAGCAGAGUUUGCUGCGGCUCUUUCCUCUGUUCUAAAUGACUUGAAUGUCUUUAAAACCAGAACAAGUAGAAGCGCUAAAAGCAUUUCUUCUAAAAGAAAAAAAGAUGUUUGCGCCGUUGUCAGACGCUUUUUUUUUUACUACAGCUAAAAAACGACAGCGUUGCCUGGUACAGUUGUUAUUUCCGUCCUUUUUCUGAUUGGUUAUUUGUGAGCUUCCUGGUCCCGCCCCUCAUGUGGCUCUCUGCCUGUGAGUUACCAGACUCUUUCUCUGUGCAGAAUUAAACAGAGGACGAGUCUGGCAGGCCAGGCUAGAUGAAAUGGAAAACAACAAUGUGGAUUUUCCAUGAUAUGUCUCCUUUAAGUGAUUGUUGGAUAUCUGACAAGUAGUGAAGUCAGAAAUGAUCAUGAAAUAAUCUUAGCUCUACCAAAAAAAAAAAAAAAAAAAGACUUGUAAUAAUA